rnacentral:piRNA from 1 species
UGAUAAAAUGUCGCAGUAGUU